GGGUGUAUUCCUAAUGCCUAUCUCAGUGCUUACCUAAGAGUUGUUACUUCUUUGUUUUCUAAGAGGACCAAUGACAUCAUGAUUGAAUUGGAUUUAAGUGAAACAGUGUUGCACAAAAUUGUCAGCCUUACUCCCUCUUCCUGAGUCAUCGAAGUGAUAGGACAAAAGUCAAGAUGACUGGCGAUGGCCCAGAAUGCAGUGGAUGACUUUAACAUUUCUGAUGCCUGAUCAAGCCCUAUAAGAACCAUCAGUUGGUAAAAAAAAAAAAAAAAAAAGAAAAGAAAACUGGGAAGAGAAAAAAAUCAAAUUCUAUCACACUAAGCAGCACGUUAAGUUAAUCUGACAGGAGGACAGAGAUAUUCUCCAUCCAUACUUUCGCAAAAAAGGAAGGGAGGUGAAUUUUUUUUAUUGUCUCUCCUUUGGGGAGAAGUUUGAUUAUUAUAAUCCCAUCUAAUUCUCGGUUUUGAAUUUUUUUGUUGUUGUUCUUUUCAUUCACAUGAUUGAAAUUAUUGUGUAUCUUGUUUUCUUGGUUCUUCAUUUUGCAUCAGAUCAUAUGUCUUCUCAUGCUAUUCUGUAUUCAUAAAUCAUAACUACUCUAUAGUAAUCUUUCCAUUAAAAUCAUAAUGAUGAUGA